GCGUAUAGGACCUCACACAAUCAUCACAUUCUUUAUAUUUGAGGAACUCCGCCACCUCAUAGGAAUGGACCCUGUAUAACUUACAGAGCUUGUAGUGGAUAUAAUUAACCAAUGCGUCCCUGAUACAAUGCAUCACAGUCAAUCUAAAGCAAGACCCCAGUAUUUCACAACGAAAAGAAAAAGUAGGGGCUGAAUGUUGGACUACAAUAUGAAUUUUAAAAAAUGCCGAUGUGUGCUGUAUACAAAUUCGUUUGAAUUGCCGUGAUAUUCUACCUCAGUGGGAGUAAAAAAAAAUAACCUUACUGUGUCUAGGAACGGGCUCUCAACGGGGUCCGUUAAAAUAUUAUUUUAACGAUUGUUUUAACAUUCUGUUCACCCCGGUGGUACAAAACCAACGCAAGAGUUUCUACAUCUACUUUGAUUAAAGCGACAUACUUGUAUUAUAGAUCUGUGAUCAAAUGAAAUUCUCAAGAUUUCAACCCAUCUGCAUAUUUUAGCAUGAGAUUUAUGUAUGUUUUUGUACAAGAUGUUUUAGAUAUUUUUGAUGAUGUUGAACGGUUCCCGAAGACAAUAAA
rnacentral:misc_RNA from 1 species